rnacentral:rRNA from 1 species
CGAGUCGGCCUGCGCGGAAGAUGUAACGGGGCUAAACCAUGCACCGAAGCUGCGGCAGCGACGCUUAUGCGUUGUUGGGUAGGGGAGCGUUCUGUAAGCCUGCGAAGGUGUGCUGUGAGGUAUGCUGGAGGUAUCAGAAGUGCGAAUGCUGACAUAAGUAACGAUAAAGCGGGUGAAAAGCCCGCUCGCCGGAAGACCAAGGGUUCCUGUCCAACGUUAAUCGGGGCAGGGUGAGUCGACCCCUAAGGCGAGGCCGAAAGGCGUAGUCGAUGGGAAACAGGUUAAUAUUCCUGUACUUGGUGUUACUGCGAAGGGGGGACGGAGAAGGCUAUGUUGGCCGGGCGACGGUUGUCCCGGUUUAAGCGUGUAGGCUGGUUUUCCAGGCAAAUCCGGAAAAUCAAGGCUGAGGCGUGAUGACGAGGCACUACGGUGCUGAAGCAACAAAUGCCCUGCUUCCAGGAAAAGCCUCUAAGCAUCAGGUAACAUCAAAUCGUACCCCAAACCGACACAGGUGGUCAGGUAGAGAAUACCAAGGCGCUUGAGAGAACUCGGGUGAAGGAACUAGGCAAAAUGGUGCCGUAACUUCGGGAGAAGGCACGCUGAUAUGUAGGUGAAGUCCCUCGCGGAUGGAGCUGAAAUCAGUCGAAGAUACCAGCUGGCUGCAACUGUUUAUUAAAAACACAGCACUGUGCAAACACGAAAGUGGACGUAUACGGUGUGACGCCUGCCCGGUGCCGGAAGGUUAAUUGAUGGGGUUAGCGCAAGCGAAGCUCUUGAUCGAAGCCCCGGUAAACGGCGGCCGUAACUAUAACGGUCCUAAGGUAGCGAAAUUCCUUGUCGGGUAAGUUCCGACCUGCACGAAUGGCGUAAUGAUGGCCAGGCUGUCUCCACCCGAGACUCAGUGAAAUUGAACUCGCUGUGAAGAUGCAGUGUACCCGCGGCAAGACGGAAAGACCCCGUGAACCUUUACUAUAGCUUGACACUGAACAUUGAGCCUUGAUGUGUAGGAUAGGUGGGAGGCUUUGAAGUGUGGACGCCAGUCUGCAUGGAGCCGACCUUGAAAUACCACCCUUUAAUGUUUGAUGUUCUAACGUUGACCCGUAAUCCGGGUUGCGGACAGUGUCUGGUGGGUAGUUUGACUGGGGCGGUCUCCUCCUAAAGAGUAACGGAGGAGCACGAAGGUUGGCUAAUCCUGGUCGGACAUCAGGAGGUUAGUGCAAUGGCAUAAGCCAGCUUGACUGCGAGCGUGACGGCGCGAGCAGGUGCGAAAGCAGGUCAUAGUGAUCCGGUGGUUCUGAAUGGAAGGGCCAUCGCUCAACGGAUAAAAGGUACUCCGGGGAUAACAGGCUGAUACCGCCCAAGAGUUCAUAUCGACGGCGGUGUUUGGCACCUCGAUGUCGGCUCAUCACAUCCUGGGGCUGAAGUAGGUCCCAAGGGUAUGGCUGUUCGCCAUUUAAAGUGGUACGCGAGCUGGGUUUAGAACGUCGUGAGACAGUUCGGUCCCUAUCUGCCGUGGGCGCUGGAGAACUGAGGGGGGCUGCUCCUAGUACGAGAGGACCGGAGUGGACGCAUCACUGGUGUUCGGGUUGUCAUGCCAAUGGCACUGCCCGGUAGCUAAAUGCGGAAGAGAUAAGUGCUGAAAGCAUCUAAGCACGAAACUUGCCCCGAGAUGAGUUCUCCCUGACUCCUUGAGAGUCCUGAAGGAACGUUGAAGACGACGACGUUGAUAGGCCGGGUGUGUAAGCGCAGCGAUGCGUUGAGCUAACCGGUACUAAUGAACCGUGAGGCUUAACCUU